rnacentral:rRNA from 1 species
GACGAACGCUGGCGGCGUGCUUAACACAUGCCAGUCGAACGGAAAGGCCCUGCUUUUGUGGGGUGCUCGAGUGGCGAACGGGUGAGUAACACGAGAGUAACCUGCCCUUGACUUUGGGAUAACUUCAGGAAACUGGGGCUAAUACCGGAUAGGAGCUCCUGCUGCAUGGUGGGGGUUGGAAAGUUUCGGCGGUUGGGGAUGGACUCGCGGCUUAUCAGCUUGUUGGUGGGGUAGUGGCUUACCAAGGCUUUGACGGGUAGCCGGCCUGAGAGGGUGACCGGCCACAUUGGGACUGAGAUACGGCCCAGACUCCUACGGGAGGCAGCAGUGGGGAAUAUUGCACAAUGGGCGGAAGCCUGAUGCAGCAACGCCGCGUGCGGGAUGACGGCCUUCGGGUUGUAAACCGCUUUCGCCUGUGACGAAGCGUGAGUGACGGUAAUGGGUAAAGAAGCACCGGCUAACUACGUG